rnacentral:rRNA from 1 species
GACGCUAGCGGCAGGCCUAAUACAUGCAAGUCGAGCGGCAAGUUGAGUAGUAAUACUUAGCCUAGAGCGGCGCACGGGUGCGUAACGCGUAUGCAACCUACCUUUUACUGGGGGAUAGCCCGGAGAAAUCUGGAUUAAUACCCCAUGGUAUCCAUGAAUCGAUUGGUUUAUAGUUUAAAGAUUUAUCGGUAAGAGAUGGGCAUGCGUCUGAUUAGCUAGUUGGCGGGGUAACGGCCCACCAAGGCGACGAUCAGUAGGGGUUCUGAGAGGAAGGUCCCCCACACUGGCACUGAGAUACGGGCCAGACUCCUACGGGAGGCAGCAGUAGGGAAUAUUGGGCAAUGGUCGCAAGACUGACCCAGCCAUGCCGCGUGCAGGAAGACGGCCCUCUGGGUUGUAAACUGCUUUUAUCUGGGAAGAAAAAGUCCAUGCGUGGAAAAUUGCCGGUACCAGAUGAAUAAGCACCGGCUAACUCCGUGCCAGCAGCCGCGGUAAUACGGAGGGUGCAAGCGUUGUCCGGAUUUAUUGGGUUUAAAGGGUGCGUAGGCGGCUGAAUAAGUCAGCGGUGAAAGACUUCGGCUUAACCGGAGCAGUGCCGUUGAUACUGUUUAGCUUGAGUGUUGGAGGGGUACAUGGAAUUGAUGGUGUAGCGGUGAAAUGCAUAGAUACCAUCAGGAACACCGAUAGCGAAGGCAUUGUACUGGCCAACAACUGACGCUGAGGCGCGAAAGUGUGGGGAUCGAACAGGAUUAGAUACCCUGGUAGUCCACACCGUAAACGAUGAUUACUCGCUGUUAUGGUGUAUGCUGUAGCGGCCAAGCGAAAGCGUUAAGUAAUCCACCUGGGGAGUACGCCGGCAACGGUG